rnacentral:rRNA from 1 species
CGUGGGUAACCUGCCCAAGAGAUCGGGAUAACACCUGGAAACAGAUGCUAAUACCGGAUAACAACAGAUGAUGCCUAUCAACUGUUUAAAAGAUGGUUCUGCUAUCACUCUUGGAUGGACCUGCGGUGCAUUAGCUAGUUGGUAGGGUAACGGCCUACCAAGGCGAUGAUGCAUAGCCGAGUUGAGAGACUGAUCGGCCACAUUGGGACUGAUACACGGCCCAAACUCCUACGGGAAGCAGAU